rnacentral:tRNA from 1 species
UUAGCUCAGCUGGGAGAGCGUCUGCCUUACAAGCAGAAUGUCGGCGGUUCGAUCCCGUCAAUGCCCA